UACAGAGGGUGCGAGCGUUAAUCGGAAUUACUGGGCGUAAAGCGUGCGUAGACGGUCUUGUAAGUCGGGUGUGAAAUCCCCGGGCUCAACCUGGGAAUUGCAUUCGAGACUGCAAGGCUUGGGUGCGGAAGAGGGAAGCGGAAUUUCCGGUGUAGCGGUGAAAUGCGUAGAGAUCGGGAGGAACACCAGUGGCGAAGGCGGCUACCUGGACCAGCACUGACACUGAGGCACGAAAGCGUGGGGAGCGAACAGG
rnacentral:rRNA from 1 species